GACCAGACUCCUACGGGAGGCAGCAGUGGGGGAUAUUGCACAAUGGGGGGAACCCUGAUGCAGCGACGCCGCGUGGGUGAAGAAGUAUUUCGGUAUGUAAAGCCCUAUCGGCAGGGAAGAAAUUGGACGGUACCUGACUAAGAAGCCCCGGCUAACUACGUGCCAGCAGCCGCGGUAAUACGUAGGGGGCAAGCGUUAUCCGGAUUUACUGGGUGUAAAGGGAGCGUAGACGGCGAUGCAAGCCAGAUGUGAAAGCCCGGGGCUCAACCCCGGGACUGCAUUUGGAACUGUGUGGCUGGAGUGUCGGAGAGGCAGGCGGAAUUCCUAGUGUAGCGGUGAAAUGCGUAGAUAUUAGGAGGAACACCAGUGGCGAAGGCGGCCUGCUGGACGAUGACUGACGUUGAGGCUCGAAAGCGUGGGGAGCAAACAGGAUUAGAUACCCUGGUAUGA
rnacentral:rRNA from 1 species